GCCGUGCCUAUCUCUACUGAAUUUGACGUAGACUCCAACUAGCUCGGGCAAAGUACAGAGCAAAGUUUAGAUUUGUUAAAGUUUAUAAAAUAUCGUCGUGUUUGGUUCGGAAGGAUUUGUUUUUAAAGCGUAUAUAUUGCAGACCUGAACAAUGUUUUCGAGUAAAGGUGUUGCAGUCCUUGUAUUUGCGUUGUGUGUGUUCCCAAACUAUGUCAGAGGUUGGAACGUAUGUUACUGGACAUGUGUACCUAUAGUAGGAGCGGGGGAAGUUGGAGCGUUGUAUGCCCUCGGCUUCACAAACGCUGGGAUUCGUGCCGGUUCUUGGGCGGCUAAAUGGAUGGCUGGCUUUAAAGGCUCUGUGCCAAAAGGUGGAUGGUUCUCAUUUUUUCAGUCCAGAGGUACACGUGCGACUUCCGUAUUUGCUUUGGCUUGUGAUAUUUGUGGGUAUAUCUGUGAUGACUAAGAGUCGAGAGCAUGUUCUAUUCUUUUUUAAUAAAUGUGUUUCAUUGUUUUUGUAAUCAAAUCACAACUGGACAUUUAACCAGAAGUACAUAUUUGAUGUCGUUUGAAGUAAGAAAACAGUUAAGUUUUGUAACUUCUCUUUUAUUUUAUCCAGACGUAAUUAUUUUUGUGUGUACUUUCUUCUUAAUAGAAUGCAAUGCUGUUGUUGUAGUUUUGUUGUCGUUUAUUCGCUUUCAAAUUAUUAAUGAAAAGAUUGAUGUGCGUUGACAUUUAAACAAACUCUUGGUGGUGGUGAUAAUUGAUCGUGCUUCCGCAGGUUUAAAAACAAAUGUAAACAAGUGUUUUGUUUGUUGAAAUAUAUUUUUCAAUUUAUAUAAAGAUCUGUUUUCAAUUCAAAACUGGACAGUUCUCAUUGUUAUAUUAACCAUGGAAAAAGGAUUCGUGGGUCAGUAAUAGAGCGUCGAACUCUGGUGCAGAAGAUCUCGUGUUCAAGCCUAGAAAACAGCGGUUCGAAAAUACUGGAAUAAACCCAACAUUUGGCGAAAAAACGGUGUAAUAACAAGGAAACAGACAUCGAGGGGAAUGAAAAUAAGCUUCAGCGUUAUAAUCGUUACAAUAGAAAUGUUCAGCUUUCACGCUUAAGUGGGCAGACUUUAAAUCCCCAAGAUGUCAUGUCUUAAUUGAAAUUGCUAUCAAAAACAAAAUCAUAUUAAUAUUCCAAAGGGACAAGACACAUGAAACAAGUUGUCGGUCAUUCGUGUUUAAUUUACGUCAGUUCCAAUUGAAAAUGUCUGCUUAUUAUAACAGUAUUCCACAUCGCUUUUUGCAUCU